GAAGCAGCAGUAGGGAUCUUCGGCAUGGACGAAAGUCUGACCGAGCAACGCCGCGUGAGUGAAGAAGGUUUUCGGAUCGUAAAACUCUGUUGUUAGAGAAGAACAAGGACGUUAGUAACUGAACGUCCCCUGACGGUAUCUAACCAGAAAGCCACGGCUAACUACGUGCCAGCAGCCGCGGUAAUACGUAGGUGGCAAGCGUUGUCCGGAUUUAUUGGGCGUAAAGCGAGCGCAGGCGGUUUCUUAAGUCUGAUGUGAAAGCCCCCGGCUCAACCGGGGAGGGUCAUUGGAAACUGGGAGACUUGAGUGCAGAAGAGGAGAGUGGAAUUCCAUGUGUAGCGGUGAAAUGCGUAGAUAUAUGGAGGAACACCAGUGGCGAAGGCGGCUCUCUGGUCUGUAACUGACGCUGAGGCUCGAAAGCGUGGGGAGCAAACAGGAUUAGAUACCCUGGUAGUCCACGCCGUAAACGAUGAGUGCUAAGUGUUGGAGGGUUUCCGCCCUUCAGUGCUGCAGCAAACGCAUUAAGCACUCCGCCUGGGGAGUACGACCGCAAGGUUGAAACUCAAAGGAAUUGACGGGGGCCCGCACAAGCGGUGGAGCAUGUGGUUUAAUUCGAAACAACGCGAA
rnacentral:rRNA from 1 species